rnacentral:rRNA from 1 species
AAAUGAAUAGACGGGGGCCCGCACAAGCGGAGGAACAUGUGGUUUAAUUCGAUGAUACGCGAGGAACCUUACCCGGGCUUGAACUGCAGGAGACUUUUCCGGAAACGGAUUUUCCCUUCGGGGCUCCUGUGGAGGUGCUGCAUGGUUGUCGUCAGCUCGUGCCGUGAGGUGUCGGCUUAAGUGCCAUAACGAGCGCAACCCUUGCUGUCAGUUACUAACAGGUAAUGCUGAGGACUCUGGCGGGACUGCCAUCGCAAGAUGUGAGGAAGGUGGGGAUGACGUCAAAUCAGCACGGCCCUUACGUCCGGGGCUACACACGUGUUACAAUGGGAGGUACAGAAGGCAGCUACCCGGCGACGGGAUGCCAAUCCCCAAAACCUCUCUCAGUUCGGACUGGAGUCUGCAACCCGACUCCACGAAGCUGGAUUCGCUAGUAAUCGCGCAUCAGCCAUGGCGCGGUGAAUACGUUCCCGGGCCUUGUACACACCGCCCGU